rnacentral:sRNA from 1 species
AGACGUCUUCCGCUGGUGAUUGUAUGC